rnacentral:rRNA from 2 species
ACCUCGGAUCAGGUAGGGAUACCCGCUGAACUUAAGCAUAUCAAUAAGGCGGAAGAA